GAAAGAGGCCCGCAGCAAAAAAGGACUGCUAAUCCUUUACCCCGCAGUUAAACUCCGCGGCUCAUUC
rnacentral:tRNA from 1 species